rnacentral:rRNA from 1 species
GUAGGUGGCAAGCGUUGUCCGGAAUUAUUGGGCGUAAAGCGCGCGCAGGCGGUUCUUUAAGUCUGAUGUGAAAGCCCACGGCUCAACCGUGGAGGGUCAUUGGAAACUGGAGAACUUGAGUACAGAAGAGGAAAGCGGAAUUCCACGUGUAGCGGUGAAAUGCGUAGAGAUGUGGAGGAACACCAGUGGCGAAGGCGGCUUUCUGGUCUGUAACUGACGCUGAGGCGCGAAAGCGUGGGGAGCAAACAGGAUUAGAUACCCUGGUAGUCCACGCCGUAAACGAUGAGUGCUAAGUGUUAGGGGGUUUCCGCUCCUUAGUGCUGCAGCUAACGCAUUAAGCACUCCGCCUGGGAGUACGGCCGCAAGGCUG